rnacentral:rRNA from 1 species
CAGUCGCCACGGUAAUACAGAGGGUGCGAGCGUUAAUCGGAUUUACUGGGCGUAAAGCGUGUGUAGGUUGUUGUUCAAGUCAGUUGUGAAAGCCCUGGGCUCAACCUGGGAAUUGCAGUGGAUACUGGGUCACUAGAGUGUGGUAGAGGAUAGUGGAAUUUCCGGUGUAGCAGUGAAAUGCGUAGAGAUCGGAAGGAACAUCUGUGGCGAAGGCGACUAUCUGGGCCAACACUGACACUGAGGCACGAAAGCGUGGGGAGCAAACAGGAUUAGAUACCCCUGUAGUCCCUGUCUCUUAUAC